ACUCCGAGAAGACUCAGCAAUCGUUCCUCCUGCCACUUGCUGGUCACUCCAUCUUCCAUUCCAGGAAUGGUCCAUUGCCAGGGCAGCCGAGCCCAGGUGUAAGGUGAGCCCAAACUCAGGUGAUGGAACCCUGAUAACAAAUAUCUGAGAUGGAAUGCACUUGCACAUGUUGAUGUUACUUGUGCAUGGAUAUAGAGAGAUUGGAGAGGGGGAGAAAAUAUUGCCUUGAGCCACUUGCUGGUCUCAAUCUAAGCUCUUCAUCCAUCACAUGCCCUUGUUUGUACUGCUAUCCGCCGAAUUUGCUGCACUAUCGGCGUGGUAACAUGCCAUUAGUUUUGGCACAAUCAUACCUUCUGCCCCACCAACCAUCUUCACUGUAGAAGUGUCAGAGACGAUAGAACAUGGAUGUGCCCCAAACUUUUCUAUCGUACCGUCCUUCCCCAUGUCUGAGCUCAAGAACUGCUUCUGCCUUCCUCUGUCCAAACUUCUAGCUAUGCCUACUGAGACAAUCCAGCCACCACUUGCCUACCAUCCAGAACUUCAAUCACCUUUAAUUCUGCACCGUGAUACCAAAAUCGAACAAAGGCAUCCUUUGCUUCUCCCCAUAACUCUUCAUCUUCAUGAUUUAAAAAAAUUAAAAAAACAUUGGCUCUCUCUGUAUUUUUCAGAAGACAUCAUGCAGAUCUUUCACCUCGAAUGAGAAGGGGUUAUGUCCAAUGACAAGACUGCAUAUUCCUUUUGUAUUCCGCUGAUUUGCAAAAUGUAAUCCACCCUUCUUUGUCAUCCUUUUCCUCUGCAGCCCCAUUUUACUCAUCAUUAGAACCUUUCAAGGUUAAUGACUUGUUGAUAUCACUGGUCUGGAUUGAAAGAGAGUUUGUAAUUGUUUGAAGGUUUUAGGUAGUGCAACCUGGUUAUUGUGUCAAUAAGAUCUCAACUCUUGAAUUGCAAAGAAAUGAACAUGUGUACACUCAUAAUAAAUUUUUAACUAGAGACAGUGAAAUAACUUUAUUGAUAUUCAAACUUCAUCUUUUACAAUACUAAAGAAAACUCACAACUUAGAAACUUGUGGAAUGCCUACCUCCUACAUCAACCCCCAUAUCUUUCACAAAUGGUAAAUAUGAUCUCUGACAUUUAGGCCUUAAAUCUUGCCACAAAAAGCCCAAAAUCAGUACAUGUUGAGUCUAACGGUGGACCAUGGUCCUAUAUCAUUCCUCUGGGUUGGAAAGAACUCGACUCUGCUGAGUUUGACGCUUUAUACAAGUAGUAGAGGCUCAUAUCCAAUCUUUUCCAUUCGUUGCCUGUAAUUCAUUUGCUUUCAGAAUAUUGCUUGUUUUUAUAUGCAACACUUGUUCAACUUCUUCCUUUUUUCUUUGGGAGCUAUUUAUUCAUGAUUUCAUCUUGCACGUCAGACACCUCGUCAUGGUACUCGAACAAAUCUGUCAUUUCGAAAGUAGUCAAGAUAUCUAAGUCAUUUGGCAACUUGAUCCCAUUGGCAUUGUCACUCAACUUCCGCUUAACUUGGCAUUGACUAAUCUUGUUAGACUUGAGAUGCUUCUCGGUACUUGGCUCUACUCUCUUUGAUAUUCUUCUUUUGCUCCCCCACAAUGCCUCUUUAUGCCGAACUAUUCAAUUGGUAGGAAUUUUGCUUGUUUGACUGGACUUAUUUCGUAAUUCUCAAGAUUCGGCGUGUUCAAAGAUGGUGCUAAUUCUUUACGGUGCUGAAUGUUCAUCAUAAGAGGAAGUCCAGCUGGGAGUUCUUCCCACACACUGAGGCUUGAUAUUCAUGAAAGAACUGCAUGAGAGGUGGAACAUUAGACUAAUUUACUUCUUCAUUAGCAACUGAAACAUCCCUCCGGGUUAGGGUUUGGUUUCGUUUUUGGUUGUUGGCCUAUCAUUCCUCGACCUAUGGGAGGCUCUGUAGUCGUCUUAUGCAGGAAGUUAGCAUGUUGUCCCAUUGUUGAGGACAGUCCUUGUAGGGCACCAAAUCAUCUCCAAGUUCCUAAUUAAUUAUCUCAUCGACUUUUAAUGUAAAUGUAUAUGCAUUGGACAUCGUAAAUACAUCUUUGAAAGUUAAUUCAUUUCUCAUGUCUAAGACCAUUAAGAUAUCUUGAAAAUUUUUAAUUUU